GAGACAUAGAAGAAGGGUGAGAUGUAAGAGAAUGAGACACAGGACAAUAAUUGGAUAGAUAUGCUCACAUGCAGGUGCAUCCAGUGCCCUAUGGAUGAUGGAUUGGUGGAUGAUGCAACAUGUCAAGGCAAAGAAGAAGAAGAAGAAAAAGAAGAAGAAGAGAAGGAGGAGGAGGAGGAGGAGGAGGGAGGUGAGGGAUGUGAGGGUAGAGGGUUGGGUUGAGGC
rnacentral:misc_RNA from 1 species